rnacentral:sRNA from 1 species
GCCGGGUGCAGUGGUGCACACCUGUAAUCCCAACGGCUGGGGAGGCUGAGGCAGCAGGAUUGUGAGUUCAAAGCCAGCCUCAGAAACUUAGCAAGGCCCUAAGCACCUUAAUGAAACCCUGUCUCUA